AUCAUACGUUAAUGUAUUAAUAAAAAUAAAGUAUAAAACGUAUAAAACCGAGAAGUAUACAAAAAUAAUAUCGCGCGAGGGUAUAAUAUUAUUACAAUAGUAUAUUACUAUGUACAUAUUGAAUGUAGACACUUACAAUAUAAAACAACUAUAAUAGGUAUUCCGUUAACCCGACGGGAGGCUCGACACGACCCGUACACCGUAUAAAUGGCAAAUUGUGUUGAUUGACCCGCGAACGAUUAUGUUUAUGCGUGCAUUAAUACAGCGCGGUUCGGUAAGUCUACACUGGUUACAGGUUCAAUGCCGUCGUACAGGAAGUAUAGUAGUCCACGGCGAAAAACAAAUCGUUCGCGGGCUAAUCAGUACAAUGAUAUUUAUCACCUUGGUAUACGGCUGCCAAACUUCCAUAACAUCUUACGAGACUCUGCUAUGAUGCAGUCAGCUACAUCUAUAGUGGUCUCAAACGUACAAAAUAACCAUGAAUAUCUCUAUACAAUUGUACAGUAUAUUGGCACGUUUUGUCGUAAUCGCGCGCGUAAACUUUACACAUAUAAAAACAAUAUCGAUUUAUCAGAUAACUACACACGCGGGCAAUAAAGGAACUAGUACAAUAAUUAUUACACGAUAAUAUAUUACAUAUUAUAUAGUUAGGAUUCGCAUACUAAAAAUGGCCACGUCCGAAUCGUGUCCGAAAAAACCAUGCUGUUUCAUACAGUAUACACGUUGUUUCUGUCAUGAAAAAACCGCAUCUUGUUCGUCUCUCUCACGCAUAAUAGUGUGUAUCGUAAACAAUACGGCCGAAAUUCUUAGUCCAUUUAUCUUAUCAGGGGCGUCAUUUGCGGAACGCAAGGGUUUGCAAAUGCGCCCUAUGGAUUUUUUUUUUUAGUGCACCUAAAACGUGCAGAUGUAGUUAAUUUUGUAUAAUUUAUACUCCAAAAUGUUCAUUUUGUAAUUUCACACACAUUUUUUUUUUUUUACGAUUUGGGCAUAAUAUUUUAAUACUAUCAGAAGAUAUAAACAUCGUUAUAAGUAAUCUAAUAUUUGUAUGUAUUAUAGUAUCGACUAUCGAUUAAAAAUAGCUAUGCUAAAUUAAAGCGUUGACAAUUUUUACUAUUAUUUUUUUUGCUUAAAUUUCAGAUUAGAGGUAGGCAACCUCGUACUCAGAGCCGGAUUUGGGGGGGGGAAGGAGAUUCGUACUCGUAAUUCUAUUACGCUUAUUUAAAAAUUAAAAUACCUAUUGGUUGAGUUGUCACUAGUUUACUACCUAUAUGAAUUUGUUUUAAUUUAUUAUGUUUACUACACU